rnacentral:rRNA from 2 species
GAGUGCAGAAGAGGGUAGUGGAACUCCAUGUGUAGCGGUGGAAUGCGUAGAUAUAUGGAAGAACACCAGUGGCGAAGGCGGCUACCUGGUCUGCAACUGACGCUGAGACUCGAAAGCAUGGGUAGCGAACAGGAUUAGAUACCCUGGUAGUCCAUGCCGUAAACGAUGAGUGCUAGGUGUUGGAGGGUUUCCGCCCUUCAGUGCCGGAGCUAACGCAUUAAGCACUCCGCCUGGGGAGUACGACCGCAAGGUUGAAACUCAAAGGAAUUGACGGGGGCCCGCACAAGCGGUGGAGCAUGUGGUUUAAUUCGAAGCUACGCGAAGAACCUUACCAGGUCUUGACAUCUUGCGCCAACCCUAGAGAUAGGGCGUUUCCUUCGGGAACGCAAUGACAGGUGGUGCAUGGUCGUCGUCAGCUCGUGUCGUGAGAUGUUGGGUUAAGUCCCGCAACGAGCGCAACCCUUGUUACUAGUUGCCAGCAUUAAGUUGGGCACUCUAGUGAGACUGCCGGUGACAAACCGGAGGAAGGUGGGGACGACGUCAGAUCAUCAUGCCCCUUAUGACCUGGGCUACACACGUGCUACAAUGGACGGUACAACGAGUCGCGAACUCGCGAGGGCAAGCAAAUCUCUUAAAACCGUUCUCAGUUCGGACUGCAGGCUGCAACUCGCCUGCACGAAGU